AUUGAACGCUGGCGGCAUGCUUUACACAUGCAAGUCGAACGGCAGCGCGGGCUUCGGCCUGGCGGCGAGUGGCGAACGGGUGAGUAAUGCAUCGGAACGUGCCCAGUAGUGGGGGAUAGCCCGGCGAAAGCCGGAUUAAUACCGCAUACGACCUGAGGGUGAAAGCGGGGGACCGAAAGGCCUCGCGCUAUUUGAGCGGCCGAUGUCGGAUUAGCUAGUUGGUGGGGUAAAGGCUUACCAAGACGACGAUCCGUAGCUGGUCUGAGAGGACGACCAGCCACACUGGGACUGAGACACGGCCCAGACUCCUACGGGAGGCAGCAGUGGGGAAUUUUGGACAAUGGGGGCAACCCUGAUCCAGCCAUGCCGCGUGCGGGAAGAAGGCCUUCGGGUUGUAAACCGCUUUUGUUCGGGAAGAAAUCCUCUGGGCUAAUACCCCGGGGGGAUGACGGUACCGGAAGAAUAAGCACCGGCUAACUACGUG
rnacentral:rRNA from 1 species